GGGGAUAUGGCGGAAUUGGUAGACGCUACGGACUCAUCCGUCGGCUUUAUAGACCGUGAGGGUUCAAGUCCCUCUAUUCCCA
rnacentral:tRNA from 1 species